rnacentral:lncRNA from 1 species
GGGUCAAGCACUUCAGGAAAAGACUCUAUGGGACAGGAAAAAAAUAAUUCAUGUUGCCCUGAAAAACUAGAAAAUGCCAAAGAAAUAUCACUUCUGUGUUGCUGUCUUUGGUAGAGGACCUGAGAAUGCAAGAAAUUAAUGCCAGGGACCGUAACAUUGCUGAGGACCUCCUCAGAGCUGGAGGUGGGAUUCAGAACGCUCAGCCUGCUUGGCUCACUCUGGUUUUGCACAGUGGAAAAGAAGAGACAGUUCUGCAUAUUUCUCAGCACUGAUAUGAGUUACAGGAAGAUGUUCGCUUGUGUUUGGCGUGAGGCUCACAGCUUCAAAAACCUCCCAGCAGCCACACGAGAAGAGUUCAUCCAGGCAAGGUGUGUGUGCAGUGAGACCCUAUAUUACCCUAUGGAUCUCAACAUGGCUAUGAAGGUGAAAGAAAAUGGAUCCCCUGAAGACUUUUCUGCCUCAAAACCACAGAUGAUGCAAAAUGAAGCAGAGAGCGAGGUUGAGAACAACUAUGCAAAUGAGAACAGCAAAAUCAAACAGAUGAAAACCACACAGGGCCUUACACAGCCCAGAAGUAAUUGA